CUAGUUGGUGGGGUAAAGGCCUACCAAGGCAUCGAUCAGUAGCUGGUCUGAGAGGACGACCAGCCACACUGGAACUGAGACACGGUCCAGACUCCUACGGGAGGCAGCAGUGGGGAAUUUUGGACAAUGGGCGCAAGCCUGAUCCAGCAAUGCCGCGUGAGUGAAGAAGGCCUUCGGGUUGUAAAGCUCUUUUGUCAGGGAAGAAACGGUGUUGGCUAAUAUCCGGCACUAAUGACGGUACCUGAAGAAUAAGCACCAGCUAACUACGUGCCAGCAGCCGCGGUAAUACGUAGGGUGCAAGCGUUAAUCGGAAUUACUGGGCGUAAAGCGUGCGCAGGCGGUUUUGUAAGUCUGUCGUGAAAUCCCCGGGCUCAACCUGGGAAUUGCGAUGGAGACUGCAAGGCUAGAAUCUGGCAGAGGGGGGUAGAAUUCCACGUGUAGCAGUGAAAUGCGUAGAGAUGUGGAGGAACACCGAUGGCGAAGGCAGCCCCCUGGGUCAAGAUUGACGCUCAUGCACGAAAGCGUGGGGAGCAAACAGGAUUAGAUACCCUGGUAGUCCACGCCCUAAACGAUGUCUACUAGUUGUCGGGUCUUAAUUGACUUGGUAACGCAGCUAACGCGUGAAGUAGACCGCCUGGGGAGUACGGUCGCAAGAUUAAAACUCAAAGGAAUUGACG
rnacentral:rRNA from 1 species